rnacentral:rRNA from 1 species
GACGAACGCUGGCGGCGUGCCUAAUACAUGCAAGUCGAGCGAAGUUUUUCUGGUGCUUGCACCGGAAAAACUUAGCGGCGAACGGGUGAGUAACACGUAAAGAACCUGCCUCAUAGACUGGGACAACUAUUGGAAACGAUAGCUAAUAACGGAUAACAGCAUUAACUGCAUGGUUGAUGAUUAAAAGUUGGUUUUGCUAACACUAUGAGAUGGCUUUGCGUUGCAUUAGCUAGUUGGUGGGGUAAAGGCCUACCAAGGCGACGAUGCAUAGCCGACCUGAGAGGGUGAUCGGCCACACUGGAACUGAGACACGGCCCAGACUCCUACGGGAGGCAGCAGUAGGGAAUCUUCCGCAAUGGGCGAAAGCCUGACGGAGCAACGCCGCGUGAGUGAAGAAGGAUUUCGGUUCGUAAAGCUCUGUUGUUAGGGAAGAAUGAUUGUGUAGUAACUAUACGCAGUAGUGACGGUACCUAACCAGAAAGCCACGGCUAACUACGUG